rnacentral:tRNA from 1 species
GGGCAGGUGGCUGAGCGGUUUAAAGCUCCGGUCUUGAAAACCGGCGUUCCUGCAAGGGAACCGGGGGUUCGAAUCCCUCCCUGCCCG